rnacentral:tRNA from 1 species
GCCACCUUAGCUCAGUUGGUCAGAGCAGCUGAUUUGUAAUCAGCAGGUCGAGAGUUCGAAUCUGUCAGGUGGCU